CCCACGCCGCGUGUCCGCCGGAGAGAUCGCCGGACGCCAGCGGUGGGAGUUGCCGGUCAUCUCUCUCCGUGUUCUCAGAAUAAAGGCCGCUUUUUAUUUUAUAUUUCUCAUCUUUUGUUAAUAUUUUUCAUCUUUUGGAAAUAACUCUAUCAUUUGUUGCCGUGACUCGAUCGGCAGGCAACUAACUCUUGGGCCACAUACCCAGAGUUUCCUCGCCGAUAAUCAGAUAACAUCCUGGAUUAAUCCCGAGCUUUUUCCUCUCCCGAGACGUUCCUGUCGCCAGCCGCCUGCACUCCGCAUCGGCCAGACUGAUUUCAGAUACCUCUCUCAUCUCACAAGAACGGAAUCAGCUGUGGCAAGCAGUUCGAGAAAAAGCUGAUCGCAGACCUGAGUUCUCAAACCAUUUAAUCAAGGUUAUUGGCCACCUGAU